AUGAUUACCCUGAACGGUGGAUCACUUGGCUCGUGGGUCGAUGAAGAACGCAGCUAAUUGCGCGUCAACUUGUGAACCGCAGGACACAUGAUGAACAUCGACAUUUUGAACGCACAU
rnacentral:rRNA from 1 species